AUAAAUGGUUAAUUGCGGACUGAAAAUCAAGCGGCACGCCGCAUGAAUCCUCAUAAGUUUAAUCAGCCUUCUAAGCUGAGGGUCACAGGUUCGAUUCCUGUUGGGCAGGCCA
rnacentral:tRNA from 1 species